GUGAAAGGAGGGAUGGAAGGGGAUGGUAACAGCAGGAGAGAAAAUCCUACCCCCAUUUUGUUCCUCCCUACUUGCAGAUCAGUAGCUGCAAUGCUGUGCUUCUUCUCCUUCUCCUUAAUUCUUCUUCACUCCGCAAACUUCAUUUCAUCGUAACUUUUUCAUACGGACAUAAUCGUGCAAGGUUGGAGCCUAUAGAUUCGUAUCAGAACCCUUUUCCAUCUGAUAUGACACCCACACCUCAAAAUCAAUUGCGCUCAAAGAUUGGAGCCUAAAACAGUUUCUGGCGAAGUUUUGCAGAUUCCACUCAAGCUCGCCGAAAUUUGGUCUCGGCCUAAAAGAGAAAGUUGAUCCUCUUCUGACGAUCUUUCUACCUAUACAUGAAUUCAUUGAGUGAAUUGAAGGGGAUUGUUGAUUGAAUUGGUAAUUGGACAAUGAGGGAAUCUAGAAGAUCGGGGCACGUUCUCAAGUUUGUACUACUCUAUCCCUUUCUUUCUCUCUUUCUGGGAAUUUCUUGAAUUUGAAGAUGCAAGUUCUGAUUUAUUCCAUCGAUGGCUACUACAAAUAAUGAUCUUUGCUCUAUCCUUUAUUUGAUACAUUGUAGCUCCAAGAUUAUAAGAGUCGGCUAUUAGUGUUUGGACAUGAUGGUCCUUACUUUGAUCGUGAAGUUGCACAGGUUCUUUUUCGACGUUUCAUCACCCAACGCUGCAUUAAUUUGUGUUGCUUCCUUUAAUAUCGGUCUCCUACCUGUUUGUGAUCAUCUUUGUGUAUGUGCAAUGCAUAUUAUUAUCAAAAUUGUAGAAAGAAGCAAACAACUUACCGAUGAAGAUUUUAUAAGUGGUAUUGACGCCAAAUGAUGAUCGCUUGAACUAGAUUCAGGAAAAUGACAACGUUCUGAUUGCCACAUCUGGCCGUAAAGGAACGACGUUCUCAUUGCAGGAUUUGGUGGUAAAGAUAGAGUACAUUUGGGACCCCACAAUCUGUGUGUUCAGCUUCCGGACUUCCAGUCCAUAGUUGGGAGAUAACGAAUUUUCAAAUAUCAAAGUUUAGGAUUUUUGUUUGGCCAUCAUUGACGAAGUAAAGGAAUACUAAAAAUUCCAAGUUGACUUCAACAGAUCAAGUAUGGAGGGAUGUGAUCGUAGUAAUAUAUCACAGGUCGGCAAUGAUGAAGUUCGAUUGGGGCAAAUAAAUGUUCACAAUUCUCGAGAACAAUCAAAGCAAAGGUUUCGUAGGAGAAAUCAACAAAGACAUAGGCGCCAAAUUGCGAAUUCAUCACAGAGGGUUCAAAAUUCAAUGCAACGACAUGCUAAUUAUCAAACUCAAUUAACUCUGUAAAUAUAGUACAAAAUCAAAUGGAAAAAACAAAGAAACUAUAGAAUCAACAUCAGCGGGUAAUUAUGAUUUCUUUCUUUUGGACCCUAAUAAUUAUAUAUUUGUAAAACCAUCUGAUGUAUGAAUAUAUUUGGACAAAAAUACCCUCCAAACAAAAAAUUCAAAAGCAGCCCAAAAUAAUGCAGGGGUAUUUUCGUCAUAUAAACAGUAUUUUUAAUAAUUAAUUAUUUUUUGCACA